UACGAAGGUGGCAAGCGUUACUCGGAAUUACUAGGCGUAAAGGGCAGGUAGGUGGUCUGAUAAGUCUGUUGUGAAAGCUCCCGGCUUAACUGGGAGAGGCCAACGGAAACUAUCAGGCUUGAGUAUGGGAGAGGGUACUGGAAUUCCUGGUGUAGCGGUGAAAUGCGCAGAGAUCAGGAGGAACACCAAUGGCGAAAGCAGGUACCUGGACCAUUACUGACACUCAGCUGCGAAAGCUAGGGGAGCAAACAGG
rnacentral:rRNA from 1 species